UUAAAUUGAAGAGUUUGAUCAUGGCUCAGAUUGAACGCUGGCGGCAGGCCUAACACAUGCAAGUCGAACGGUAACAGGAAGCAGCUUGCUGCUUUGCUGACGAGUGGCGGACGGGUGAGUAAUGUCUGGGAAACUGCCUGAUGGAGGGGGAUAACUACUGGAAACGGUAGCUAAUACCGCAUAACGUCGCAAGACCAAAGAGGGGGACCUUCGGGCCUCUUGCCAUCGGAUGUGCCCAGAUGGGAUUAGCUUGUUGGUGGGGUAACGGCUCACCAAGGCGACGAUCCCUAGCUGGUCUGAGAGGAUGACCAGCCACACUGGAACUGAGACACGGUCCAGACUCCUACGGGAGGCAGCAGUGGGGAAUAUUGCACAAUGGGCGCAAGCCUGAUGCAGCCAUGCCGCGUGUAUGAAGAAGGCCUUCGGGUUGUAAAGUACUUUCAGCGGGGAGGAAGGGAGUAAAGUUAAUACCUUUGCUCAUUGACGUUACCCGCAGAAGAAGCACCGGCUAACUCCGUGCCAGCAGCCGCGGUAAUACGGAGGGUGCAAGCGUUAAUCGGAAUUACUGGGCGUAAAGCGCACGCAGGCGGUUUGUUAAGUCAGAUGUGAAAUCCCCGGGCUCAACCUGGGAACUGCAUCUGAUACUGGCAAGCUUGAGUCUCGUAGAGGGGGGUAGAAUUCCAGGUGUAGCGGUGAAAUGCGUAGAGAUCUGGAGGAAUACCGGUGGCGAAGGCGGCCCCCUGGACGAAGACUGACGCUCAGGUGCGAAAGCGUGGGGAGCAAACAGGAUUAGAUACCCUGGUAGUCCACGCCGUAAACGAUGUCGACUUGGAGGUUGUGCCCUUGAGGCGUGGCUUCCGGAGCUAACGCGUUAAGUCGACCGCCUGGGGAGUACGGCCGCAAGGUUAAAACUCAAAUGAAUUGACGGGGGCCCGCACAAGCGGUGGAGCAUGUGGUUUAAUUCGAUGCAACGCGAAGAACCUUACCUGGUCUUGACAUCCACAGAAGUUUUCAGAGAUGGAAUUGGUGCCUUCGGGAACCGUGAGACAGGUGCUGCAUGGCUGUCGUCAGCUCGUGUUGUGAAAUGUUGGGUUAAGUCCCGCAACGAGCGCAACCCUUAUCCUUUGUUGCCAGCGGUCCGGCCGGGAACUCAAAGGAGACUGCCAGUGAUAAACUGGAGGAAGGUGGGGAUGACGUCAAGUCAUCAUGGCCCUUACGACCAGGGCUACACACGUGCUACAAUGGCGCAUACAAAGAGAAGCGACCUCGCGAGAGCAAGCGGACCUCAUAAAGUGCGUCGUAGUCCGGAUUGGAGUCUGCAACUCGACUCCAUGAAGUCGGAAUCGCUAGUAAUCGUGGAUCAGAAUGCCACGGUGAAUACGUUCCCGGGCCUUGUACACACCGCCCGUCACACCAUGGGAGUGGGUUGCAAAAGAAGUAGGUAGCUUAACCUUCGGGAGGGCGCUUACCACUUUGUGAUUCAUGACUGGGGUGAAGUCGUAACAAGGUAACCGUAGGGGAACCUGCGGUUGGAUCACCUCCUUACCUUAAAGAAGC
rnacentral:rRNA from 1 species